rnacentral:rRNA from 1 species
ACGAACGCUGGCGGCCUGCCUCACCCCUGCCAGUCGAACGAGACCUUCGGGUCUAGUGGCGCACGGGUGCGUCACGCGUGGGAACCUGCCCUUAGGUUCGGAAUAACUCCCCGAAAGGGGUGCUAAUACCGGAUAAUGUCUUCGGACCAAAGAUUUAUCGCCUUUGGAUGGGCCCGCGUUGGAUUAGCUAGUUGGUAGGGUAAAAGCCUACCAAGGCGACGAUCCAUAGCUGGUCUGAGAGGAUGAUCAGCCACACUGGGACUGAGACACGGCCCAGACUCCUACGGGAGGCAGCAGUGGGGAAUAUUGGACAAUGGGCGAAAGCCUGAUCCAGCAAUGCCGCGUGAGUGAUGAAGGCCUUAGGGUUGUAAAGCUCUUUUACCCGGGAUGAUAAUGACAGUACCGGGAGAAUAAGCUCCGGCUAACUCCGUG